ACGGGUGCAAAGCUCUGACAGAGCCAGAGCCGCAAGGCCAAGAGGAGCUGCCAACCCGAAUUAAACUGUAUAAUGAGGGUGUCAGUCACUCCUGCACAGCUCAGGGAGCUUAUUUAUCACAGCAUGAACCUACCUUAAGAGCUGUGACGACAGAAAGCUCUGCUGGUAAUUACUGCAGGGAGCCAGCAGGCAUAAAUGAGUCACCACAACACCAGUGUGCAGGCGACAAGGAACCAGAAUGAUGGAGCUGGAGUUUUCUCAAAGUUGCAUCCUCUGGUAUAGGUCAGCUUCAUCAGUGCUGUGAUGCCCAACAUGCAGGAAGGAUGAUGUCUGAACUCCAAUGAUUUCAGAAGGCUACUUAAUUACUUUAUUAAAUUAUAUUACACUAACAAGAAGUAUCACUAACUAACUAGAAAACCCAUGACUCUUUCCUGAGAGUCCCAACACAACACGUGGAUCCAACUGGUCAAUGAAUCCAAAACACCAUCAGUAGAAUCCAAUCCAUCAAUCACCUUGGGUAAACGAUCUCCAGAACACAUUGCACAUGGGCACAAACAGUGAAUGAGAUAAGAAUUGUUUUGAUUCUCUUACCAGGUGUUUUCAGGAGGAUUUUACAAUUAAAAAAAAUAAAAUAAAAAAGCAAAGA